rnacentral:rRNA from 1 species
CAGCCGCCACGGUAAUACGUAGGGUGCGAGCGUUUAUCGGAAUUACUGGGCGUAAAGCGUGCGCAGGCGGUUUUGUAAGACAGGCGUGAAAUCCCCGGGCUCAACCUGGGAAUGGCGCUUGUGACUGCAAAGCUAGAGUGCGGCAGAGGGGGAUGGAAUUCCGCGUGUAGCAGUGAAAUGCGUAGAUAUGCGGAGGAACACCGAUGGCGAAGGCAAUCCCCUGGGCCUGCACUGACGCUCAUGCACGAAAGCGUGGGGAGCAAACAGGAUUAGAUACCCCCGUAGUCCCUGUCUCUUAUAC